UAGGGAAUAUUGGACAAUGGGGGCAACCCUGAUCCAGCCAUGCCGCGUGAGUGAAGAAGGCCCUCGGGCUGUAAAGCUCUUUUGUCCGGAAAGAAAAGCAUUCGGUGAAUACCCGGAUGUUCUGACGGUACCGGAAGAAUAAGCACCGGCUAACUUCGUGCCAGCAGCCGCGGUAAUACGAAGGGUGCAAGCGUUACUCGGAAUUACUGGGCGUAAAGCGUGCGUAGGUGGUUGUUUAAGUCUGAUGUGAAAGCCCUGGGCUCAACCUGGGAAUGGCAUUGGAAACUGGGCAGCUAGAGUGCGGUAGAGGGUAGUGGAAUUCCCGGUGUAGCAGUGAAAUGCGUAGAGAUCGGGAGGAACAUCUGUGGCGAAGGCGACUGCCUGGACCAGCACUGACACUGAGGCACGAAAGCGUGGGGAGCAAACA
rnacentral:rRNA from 1 species